rnacentral:rRNA from 1 species
AAUCAAGUGCCUUAAGGGU